UGUCUGCCAUGCAAAGAACAUGUCGGAGGAGCACUGUGUGCGAACAAGGCUGGUAGGGUGACUAGAGUUGUGUUUGUCAGCACAGAGCAUGUGAGCUGGAGAAUGUAAAGACCAUUUAAAUGACCAGCACUUUACACUUUAAGGAAAACCAUAAUUUUCUGCGGAUUUUUACCAUUGCAUUUACUUAUCUCCUAUAUUUCGUAAAUCUUUCGUAUAUAUUUUUAAAAGCUUGUUUAUUGGCCAACGAUAUUAACCACUUGCUUUCUUUCUUGUGCAGGAGUUGGGGUGAAGAAGGUCAGGCUUUGCUUCUUUGCCCUUUUGGUGUCAUCUUCUGGUACCCUUGGUCUGAGAGAGAGAAGACACAUGGGCUGCUGUUGGCUCCGACCUAGACCCCACUUCACAGUGAUGGCUGAUUAGGCAGAGUGAAUGGGUGUCCCAGUAUAGGACAAGUGGGGCAUAUUUCUAUUCCUUAGAACUGACAUCUAUGCUGGUUAUAACUCCCUCCCAUAUCACCUCUGAGUAGCCAAGAUUGCUGGGUCCCCCAGGUAAACCAGAUCAUAACUUUACAGCCUGUAAUUCGUAUUGUAGGGCACUGAGUGCCACGUCAGUGGAUUGUGUAAUAGCCCC